GUGGGGAAUCUUCCGCAAUGGACGAAAGUCUGACGGAGCAACGCCGCGUGAGUGAAGAAGGUUUUCGGAUCGUAAAGCUCUUUCGUUAGGGACGAACGUGCUCUUUGUGAAUAAUGAGGAGUAAUGACGGUACCUAAAUAAGAAGCCACGGCUAACUACGUGCCAGCAGCCGCGGUAAUACGUAGGUGGCAAGCGUUGUCCGGAAUUAUUGGGCGUAAAGCGCGCGCAGGCGGGAUAUCAAGUCUGUCUUAAAAGUGCGAGGCUCAACCUCGUGAGGGGACAGAAACUGGUAUUCUUGAGUGUCGGAGAGGAAAGUGGAAUUCCAAGUGUAGCGGUGAAAUGCGUAGAGAUUUGGAAGAACACCAGUGGCGAAGGCGACUUUCUGGACGAUGUCUGACGCUGAGGCGCGAAAGCUAGGGGAGCGAACGGGAUUAGAUACCCCUGUAGUCA
rnacentral:rRNA from 1 species